rnacentral:tRNA from 1 species
AGCUCAGUGGCAUAAGCACCUGCUUUGCAAGCAGGAAGUCGGGAGUUCGAUCCCCC